rnacentral:misc_RNA from 1 species
AAGAAAAUAUAUUCCUAUCAUUAUGCUAAGGAAAAAGAAUGUCUCCUAAAAUCGUGCUAAUUAAUUUACAAAAACAAAUCUUACAACAACAUUUUCUAGACAUCUUAAUCGGAAGUGCAAACAAAAAUUUUCGUAUUCCGAAUCCUAUGAGAAAUGGUGGGGUGGGAACGAAGCAAGUUGUCGUUGUACAGAUUUAAAUCAAGCUAUGUCUUUGAUGGCAUUAUUCAGCAUUGUGUUGUAUAUUAAGGACCAAAUAUCUGGU